rnacentral:rRNA from 1 species
GUAGUCCACGCUGUAAACGAUGUCGAUUUGGAGGUUGUGCCCUUGAGGCGUGGCUUCCGGAGCUAACGCGUUAAAUCGACCGCCUGGGGAGUACGGCCGCAAGGUUAAAACUCAAAUGAAUUGACGGGGGCCCGCACAAGCGGUGGAGCAUGUGGUUUAAUUCGAUGCAACGCGAAGAACCUUACCUACUCUUGACAUCCAGAGAACUUUCCAGAGAUGGAUUGGUGCCUUCGGGAACUCUGAGACAGGUGCUGCAUGGCUGUCGUCAGCUCGUGUUGUGAAAUGUUGGGUUAAGUCCCGCAACGAGCGCAACCCUUAUCCUUUGUUGCCAGCGGUUCGGCCGGGAACUCAAAGGAGACUGCCAGUGAUAAACUGGAGGAAGGUGGGGAUGACGUCAAGUCAUCAUGGCCCUUACGAGUAGGGCUACACACGUGCUACAAUGGCGUAUACAAAGAGAAGCGACCUCGCGAGAGCAAGCGGACCUCAUAAAGUACGUCGUAGUCCGGAUUGGAGUCUGCAACUCGACUCCAUGAAGUCGGAAUCGCUAGUAAUCGUAGAUCAGAAUGCUACGGUGAAUACGUUCCCGGGCCUUGUACACACCGCCCGUCACACCAUGGGAGUGGGUUGCAAAAGAAGUAGGUAGCUUAACCUUCGGGAGGGCGCUUACCACUUUGUGAUUCAUGACUGGGGUGAAGUCGUAACAAGGUAGCCGUAAAGGGC